UACGUAGGUGACCAGCGUUGUCCGGAUUUACUGGGCGUAAAGAGCGCCGCAGGCGGUCGUUCAAGUCGAGUGUGAAAGCCCCCGGCUCAACUGGGGAGGGUCACUCGAUACUGAUCGACUGAAGGCAGGAGAGGGAAGCGGAAUUCCCGGUGUAGUGGUGAAAUGCGUAGAUAGUCGGGAGAACACCAGUGGCGAAGGCGGCUUCCUGGCCUGUUCUUGACGCUGAGGCGGCGAAAAGCUGAGGGGAGCCAAACAGGGG
rnacentral:rRNA from 1 species